UACGUAGGUGGCUAGCGUUGUCCGGAUUUACUGGGCGUAAAGAGCGCGCAGGCGGUCGUUCAAGUCGAGUGUGAAAGCCCCCGGCUCAACUGGGGAGGGUCACUCGAUACUGAUCGACUCGAAGGCAGGAGAGGGAAGCGGAAUUCCCGGUGUAGUGAUGAAAUGCGUAGAUAUCGGGAGGAACACCAGUGGCGAAGGCGGCUUUCUGGCCUGUUCUUGACGCUGAGGCGCGAAAGCUAGGGUAGCAAACGGG
rnacentral:rRNA from 1 species